rnacentral:rRNA from 1 species
AGUGAACGCUGGCGGUAGGCCUAACACAUGCAAGUCGAACGGCAGCACAGUAAGAGCUUGCUCUUACGGGUGGCGAGUGGCGGACGGGUGAGGAAUACAUCGGAAUCUACUUUUUCGUGGGGGAUAACGUCGGGAAACUUACGCUAAUACCGCAUACGACCUCCGGGUGAAAGCAGGGGAUCUUCGGACCUUGUGCGAUUGAAUGAGCCGAUGUCGGAUUAGCUAGUUGGCGGGGUAAAGGCCCACCAAGGCGACGAUCCGUAGCUGGUCUGAGAGGAUGAUCAGCCACACUGGAACUGAGACACGGUCCAGACUCCUACGGGAGGCAGCAGUGGGGAAUAUUGGACAAUGGGCGCAAGCCUGAUCCAGCCAUACCGCGUGGGUGAAGAAGGCCUUCGGGUUGUAAAGCCCUUUUGUUGGGAAAGAAAAGCAGCAGGUUAAUACCCCGCUGUUCUGACGGUACCCAAAGAAUAAGCACCGGCUAACUUCGUG